UUUCACUUGUUUUUCUCAAGUAGUUUUUGAGGCAAAGUAAACCUCCAACUGCUAUAUUUUUGCCAUUGCACUAUCUCUUUGAAAGGCUGGAUUAAAGAAAAACAAGAAUAUAUGGGACGCAUGAUGCUUUAAAAAGGUACCUCAAAAUCUCCUUAUGCUGCGAUGACUGACUACUGAGCUUGGGACUCCAGCUCACUGCAAAUGAUGAAUUAGACGUAUGCUUGUGUUGUAGUUGAAGUCACAAAAAUUGCAAAUGAUGAAUUAAGAUAUGCUUAUGUUGUAGUUGAAGACCCAAACAGUUAUAAUUGUUGGAAAGGUUGAUUCCCGUAGUUUGGAGGCUCUCAAUAGAACAAGGAAAUAAGGAAAAGUUUGGGUCACGAGAGUUUAGUAGAAACACCUACACAUGUUUAAUAAAUUCUGAAAUCUUUCAAUACCUAGAGGUCCGUGCACCAAAAAGAUGU